GACGAACGCUGGCGGCGUGCUUAACACAUGCAAGUCGAGCGAUGAAGUUCCUUCGGGAAUGGAUUAGCGGCGGACGGGUGAGUAACACGUGGGUAACCUGCCUCAUAGAGGGGAAUAGCCUUUCGAAAGGAAGAUUAAUACCGCAUAAGAUUGUAGUUCCGCAUGGAAUAGCAAUUAAAGGAGUAAUCCGCCAUGAGAUGGACCCGCGUCGCAUUAGCUAGUUGGUGAGGUAACGGCUCACCAAGGCGACGAUGCGUAGCCGACCUGAGAGGGUGAUCGGCCACAUUGGGACUGAGACACGGCCCAGACUCCUACGGGAGGCAGCAGUGGGGAAUAUUGCACAAUGGGGGAAACCCUGAUGCAGCAACGCCGCGUGAGUGAUGACGGUCUUCGGAUUGUAAAACUCUGUCUUCAGGGACGAUAAUGACGGUACCUGAGGAGGAAGCCACGGCUAACUACGUGCCAGCCGCCGCCGUAA
rnacentral:rRNA from 1 species